AGCCUGCUUCAGAUUCUGUGUCUCCCUCUCUCUCUGCCCCUCCCCUGCUUGUGCUCUGUCUCUCAAAAAUAAAUAAACAUUAAAAAAAAUCUCAAUAAACAACUGACUCCCUUGUUGCCUGCACCCAAAGGGAACCAAUCUGACCACACCACCCUUGGUACCACAGGUACCUACUAUCCUGGGGCUUUCAUUCUGUUUUAGGAAUGAGGAACUAAGGCCAGAGAGGCAGUGUGCCUCCAUUACAUCACAGGAGUGCUGAUGGCUGGUCUAGAACUAGAAGUCAGGUGCUCUGACUCCUUGUCCAGUGCUCUUUGUGCCACAUCAUUCUAUUUGAGAAGUGGUGGCAGUGACAGCCAUCUUGUUUGUCAUGUCUCUGUGUAUAAAAACCUUGAGCCUGACACCAUGGCCAAGAGCCUAGCUCCCUCCUGCUGUGCCACUUAUAGGAUGAGCAUAGCGGUGGGCUUGCGGUGCAGGGGGAGACUCAGAAAAUUACUGUUUGAGUGAGGAAAAGAAGGAAAGAAAUGCCCUCCAGACACUUUAGAAGCUUACCAUUCCUGAAUGUGGGGGGAGCAGUCGGGCAGCCAUCUGGUGGUAGAUUGAUUACAUUGGACCCCUUCCAUCAUGGAGAGCAUCGAUUUGGUCACCAUUGGAAUAGACACUUAUUCUGGAUGAGGAUUUGCCACCCUUUCCUGAAAUACUUCUGCCAGCCCAACCAUCUGUGUGCUCACAGAAUACCUCAUUCACUGUCGUGGUAUUAUACAAAAUAUUGCUUCUGAUUGGGGAUCUCAUUUCAGAGCAGUAUAAGAGCAGCAACAGAUUUGUGCUGGUGGGAAUUCACUAGUCUUACCACAUGCCCUAUAACCCGGAAGCAGUUGACCUGAUGGGACAUGGGAUGGCCUCCUGAAGGCUUGGUUAUGGUACCAGUUGUCCUGGAAGGUUGAGUUCUGUCUUACAGGAUGCACUAUAAGCUUUAGAUCUGUGACUGUCUCCCAUAGUAAUCAACCUUCUCAGUCCUCUACCUUACCUUUGGUUAAGGUCAGUUAAGUUGGUUAAGUUACCUUGAGGCAAGUCACUCCUCUAACUUACCUGCAGAAACUUUGAGGUUAGCUGGUUUGAAGGCAUUCGUUCUGAUGGAGGUAUGCUUCCAUCGGGAAACACAAUGAGUCCAUUGAACUGAGACUGCCAUCCGGCCAUGUUGAGCCCCUUGUGUCUCUGAACCAAAGGGAAGUUGGGUUGCUGCUACAAAGUGGGAGCAGAAGAACUAUAUCUGCAACUGUGGGGUACCUCUGAGAACAGUUGACCCUUGAACAACGUCAGGGGGCUAGGGAUGGUGACCCCCUUACACAUACACAGUAGAAAAUCUGUGUACAUAGUACAAAGUUAGAAAAAAUAAAGUCCUCUUUGGCCCAGCAUUUCAACUGUGGUGAUGUCAGUCCAGUCCCCAUCAUAUCUCACCAGACUUCCCUGUUACCAUUUUACCUCCUCCCAGUCCAGAGGCUCAUGCUCUGUUUGAGUCCAUUGAUUAGCUCAAACGCCCCUCCAGGUCCUCUGGGUCAAGGACAGUCUUCUAACAUGAUCUGCUGGCUGUUCUUACUUCCUCCUCCAGCCCAUCUCCAUAUUCUCUGCCCACUGCCACCCAGGCUUUCAGAUCCCAGAGCUUGCAGAUGCCCUCUGGCCUCAGGGCUUCGUCCAGAAUUCUCCCACCCCCAGACUCCCACCCAGAUGCACUACUCUUCAUCUGACGGCAGGUUGGGCGUCAUCUCAACCUCUCUUGGAAGUCUUCUUGGGCUCCCAGAAUCCUACGCGGUUCCUUUACAGCUCUCACUACUUUUGGUAAUUAUAAAAUCUGGCGAUUCUUUGUUUUUCAUUGAUGUCUGCCUCUCAUAGGAGGCCAUGGACUCCCCAAGGGCAGGGACUGUGUCUGUGUGACUCACUGUUGGCAUCCCAGAGCCAACACAGAGGCUGGCACAUAGUGGGCAUUCAUUAUUUAAUGAACAAAUUAAUACAAGAGAAGGACAUGUGUUAGAAAACUCUUGGAUGAAGAAAGUGUAUGAUGUUCUGGGAAAACCCUGCACGAGAUGCUUGGUUUCCUGAGAAUACACAGUUGGAAAUGUUAGGAGGGGCCAGAUCACGGGGGGCCUUGUUGGCCACAUUAAGUGGACUGGUUCAGAUUGUUCAGAUCCAGAGAACCAUGGAAAGUGGCAAAAUGGAGAAGUGAUGUGUGUGCCAGGCAGCCCCUUUGGCUGUCUCUGCGGUGGUAAAGGGAGAAGUGGGGGCCGGGAGACCCCAAGAUGGGCUGACACCACAGUCCUGAUUAGGGUCUUGCUGGUUUGAGCUGGGGUCGUGGUGAUGGUGAUGGGAUGUAGGAAUGGAGUCACCAUUUGUGGCAAUUAAUCUAACACUCAGUGGCUCUUGGCCCUUCCCUGAAAAACAAAACAAAACAAAAACAAAAACCAGUGUGUCUGUAUAAGAGAGAUGGUAAUGGAACCCCAUAGGGGCCUGGUGGGGACUGAGUGUGUUUUACAGACACAUCCUUUGAUCACAAAGAGAAUUUUGCAAAUGGUCCCUCCAGAGGCAGUCACCAGGACAUGAUUACACAGCCCAGGGGCUUGGGGCAGAGACAGGGGCAGGGCCCUCGUCCCUACGGCCAGGAGCUGUGGGGACAGCAGCAGAGCCUGGCAAUGGUGAAUGGAAAAUUGGCUUGUUAUGCAGUAAAUCUCUCUCCAGCACUUCUUCAUUUAGGCUUUGACGCGGAGCCAGAGGAAGGAGCUGGGAGACCCUGGAGCCUGAGAAGCCCCCGGAGCCUCAGCCGGAGCCAGGAAGGGGCUGCUGCUCUGGCUAGGCAGGGAUGGAGCCUUGUAAUUGGUUGCAGAGUUGGAGGGCGGGGCCGCCAGGUCACCUAGCUCUUCUUAAGAAAGAAGAAGAGGAAGAAACUCCAGACCUUCCUCUUUGCCGUGUGAGGAUACAGCAAGAAGGCAGUUUUCUGCAAGCCAGGAAAAGGGACCUGAUCAUGCUGGCACCCUGAUCUUGGACUUCCAAGCCUCCAAAACUAUGAAAAAUAAAUGUCUGUUUUCAAACCACCCAGUCUAUCCAGUCUGUGGUAUUUUAUUGUAGCAGCCAGAGCUAAGACAGUAAUUUGUCUCUAUCUCUAUCCAUAUCUAUAUCUUUAGCCAUAUCCAUAUAGUUCUACCUAGGAGAGAACUAGCUGGUUCAUAGGGUAGGUGAAUGGAUUUCUACUCACAAAGCACUGAAUUGCAUCAAAUGUGAAUCGAGUCUCUGUUCACAUCAAAUACGCUGUUGGGCUCCCGGUUCGCAUGAGGCUGUUGAACUCAGACUCUGACUCUGAGGUUGGACAUCAGUUCAGCACAAGACUUUAAAGCAAACACUUUUAUAUAACCAGGCAGCUUGUUCUCUAACCUUUCACUGUUUUAAUAUUUGUAGAAAAUUUAAUAUUUUCAAUUAUGUAAUUGAACUUUGGUUUUCUGCAGGCUUGAGUAAAUCUUGAAUUCCCUCUAAUUCUUUCUUGACUUUUCAGGGGCUUGUCUAAAGUUUGUUUUGCCAGAUGUCAAAUCUUCAGUUCUCUUUAGUUGUCCUAGAGCAGAUCUUGUCUGUGUCUGUUGGAAAGAGCCUUGGGAUACUUCCCUAGUCCACUAAUGAGUUUUCUAUGCCUGGAAAUUAUUAUUUUUUUCCACCCAGAAGGCAAUUUCUCCAAAAAAUGACCUCUUUUACCCUAGAUCUUUGCUUUUUGAAAUAAUAGCUGCUGUAUAUACCAUUUGUAUUGAAAGCUUAUUAUGUUGGCUCACUAAAUACCUCUGGUUGUAGAAAAUUUCUGACUUACAAACUUGCUUCUAAUUUUAACAAGGGUCACACUUCUUGUUUUAGCAAUAAAGAGCCUUGUUCAUAGUGGAUGCACAACAAAUAUUUGUUGAAUCCACUUGAUGAAAAUCUUUUAAGGAGACAUAACACAGAACUGUAACUAGAGGCUGUGGAAGUUUCCUUCCAGCUCCAAGGUUUUAAGGCAAAGCCCUCAGGUGAUUUCCUCACCCUAAGUCCUGGGAAUGGGCAGCUGGGGAAAGGGGUAAGCAACUGAUUUUCAUAGCAGAAAGGAGUGGAUCUGCCUGGGCAGCAGUCCGGGGUCCCUGGUUGGGCACAUUUAUCUAGACGCCAGCUGGUCUGGCUCUGGACUGUUACGAUAACUGGAUUUCUAAAUUCUGUCUUUCCUCAAGGAUCGAGGACCUGGGUUUUCUGCUCCCAUUACAGUUCAUUUUGAUUUCAUAAACAUUUUUGAGCAUCUGCUAGGUCCCAGUUAUUGUGCUAGGUGCUGGACAGCAAACGUGAACAUAAUGGAAGCUGAUCUAUGAUAGCCAGUCAGCUCUGUGACCCUGAGUUAGUUAUUUCUCCUCUAGGGGCUCUGUUUCCUUAUCUGUAAAAUGGGGCUGUAGCUUGGGGAUUGCAGUUUAUCUCUGGAGAAGCAUUGAACUGUGCCAUGCAUCUGUUCUCAUAGAGGGAAACUGAGGUCUGGGUGGGUGGACAUACUGGACUGGUCACAGAGC